UCCUCCGUAGCUCAAUUGGCAGAGCAUUCGACUGUUAAUCGAAGGGUUAAACUGGUUCAAGUCCAGUCGGAGGAG
rnacentral:tRNA from 1 species